AUGGAGACCACCCUGACCACACGCAGCCAAGACACCUUCACAGGUCUCCAUGUCAGGUUCUAUCCCCGUACGAAGCAUAUCAUGGAAGAGCUCCACCACCUCCUUGAAAAAACCGCCAUCACCGAAUACAUUGAAGAGCACAUUGUAGGUGGCCGUGUCUGGAGGUACAGCCGUUCUCAUCUCACGGAAGAGCUCACGCACGCCAUCGAACCUCCCCUGUUUUCCAUACUGAUCGAGCAGGACACGGUAUGUCGCAGCCGUGGGCGCACAGCCAUCAGCCUGCAUUUGCCGCAGCACGGCCACAGCUUCAGCGGUGGCACCAAUCCGGGUGUGAGCCUCCAUGAGCCCGAGAUACGCGGAGGGGUCCGGCGUGUGCCCUGUGUCCGCCAUCUCGCGGAACAGCUCGGCGACACGGGAGAGGUCGCCGGCAUUGGCAAAGGCAUCCACGAUGUAGCGGUAGGACGCGGUGUCCGGAAUAAUGCCGGCCUCAAGCAUGGUGCGCAGCAGCAUCUCGGACUGGUCGCUGAGGGCGCGCACGGCGGCAGCGGCGAGGAGCGUGUUGUAGGUGGUGAGGUCGGGGCGCACGGCCGGGGAAGGGUCGUGGCGCAUCUCGGCGAAGAGGCCGAGGAGCAUGUCGAAGGGGACGGGCGGGUCGGCGGCGCGGGCGCAGGCGGCGAGCACGGUGUUGUAGGUGGCGGCGGUGGGGGCGACCCCCUGGGCCUUCAUCUGGUCGAGCAGGGCGCGGGCGUCGUCGUGCAGCGCGUUGCGGGCGUAGGCGGCGAUGAGGGAGGUGUAGGAGAGCGCGGUGCGGGCGUCGGCGGGGAGGUCCUGGAAGACCUCGAGGCACUUGUCGAGGAGGGCCGGGCCCUGGCGGCCGAGCACGCCGAUGACGAUGGCGUGGAUGUGCUCGUCGGGGCGGCACCAGGACUGGCGCUGCAUGUACUUGAAGAGGCGCACGGAGCGCUGCCAGUCGCCGCGGCGGGAGAACUCGCGGUACACCGCCGCGAAGUCCUGCAGCGUCAGCCGGUGCUUGGCCGUCUCGAGGCACCGCGCGAUGGAGCCCCGCGGCGCCAGGUUGCUCAGCCGGUCGAUCAGCGAGUCCACCUCGUACGAGUACCUGCCCCGCUCCCCCGCCCCCGCCGCCGCCGGGGCGGCCUCCUCCUUGGGCGUGGUCGUCAGCUGGCCCCGCGCCCGCGCCAGCACCGCCAGCCUGCCCCCGCCCCCGCCCCCGCCGCGGCUCCUCGGGCGGCACCAGCUCCUGGCGGCCACCGGGCGGAGCGGGUGGUCGUAGUGGUAGGAGUAGGACGACGAGGAGGCGACGGUGGUGGUGGAGACGAGCGCCAUGCGGCGGCGGCCGGCGAGGGGGAGUGGGGGUUUUGGAUUUCACCACUGGGGAGAGAUUUUUCCGCUCGCUUCCGAAGUGGAUAG
rnacentral:rRNA from 1 species